rnacentral:tRNA from 4 species
GCCGUUGUAGCUCAGUGGUAGAGCAACCGCCUUGUAAGCGGUAGGCCGGGGGUUCAAAUCCCUCCUGCGGCACCA